CAGUAGCCGCGGGAAUACGGAGGGCGCAAGCGUUAAUCGGAAUUACUGGGCGUAAAGCGCACGCAGGCGGUUUGUUAAGUCAGAUGUGAAAUCCCCGAGCUUAACUUGGGAACUGCAUUUGAAACUGGCAAGCUAGAGUCUUGUAGAGGGGGGUAGAAUUCCAGGUGUAGCGGUGAAAUGCGUAGAGAUCUGGAGGAAUACCGGUGGCGAAGGCGGCCCCCUGGACAAAGACUGACGCUCAGGUGCGAAAGCGUGGGGAGCAAACAGGAUUAGAUACCCCCGUAGUCCAUGUCUCUUAUCC
rnacentral:rRNA from 1 species